rnacentral:rRNA from 1 species
CGUAGGUGGCAAGCGUUGUCCGGAUUUACUGGGCGUAAAGCGUAUGCAGGCGGAUACUUAAGUAGGAAGUGAAAGGUGGGAGCUCAACUCCCACAUUGCUCCCUAUACUGGGUGUCUUGAGUGGCGGAGAGGGAGAUGGAACGACACGUGUAGCGGUGAAAUGCGUUGAUAUGUGUCGGAACACCAAUGGCGAAAGCAAUCUCCUGGACGCAAACUGACGCUGAGAUACGAAAGCCAAGGUAGCAAACAGGAUUAGAUACCCUGGUAGUCUUGGCCAUAAACGAUGUUCACUAGGUGUUGGGGCUUUGCCUCGGUGCCGCAGCUAACGCAUUAAGUGAACCGCCUGGGAACUACGAUCGCAAGAUUA